rnacentral:lncRNA from 1 species
CAUACUGUUAAUUAUUAUUAAAUCAUAUACGUUCUAAAGUUCUUUGCAAUUGUAUCUGAAUUUUAUCUUGGUAUCAGAGUAUUUCAAUGGCCAUCGGAUUCAACAACAGUGCACAGUCUGCUCAGCCAGCAUCAAGCAUGUUGAUGCCUCCAAUGUUGGGAAGAAAUCAAAUGACAUCAUUUGGUUACCUAAGUUCCUCCAGUAAAGCUAGAUAGAAAUAACUUUUCGCUGUGGAUGAACAUGGUUAUGCCCAUCAUUAAGGGCCAUACCUUGAAAGGUUCAUCUCAGGCACUAGAAAAUGUCCAUCAGAAUUCCUAGCCACACAAACCUUUGGUUCAACUGAUGUAACUAUUGAAUUGACACCAAAUGCUAAGUAUGGAAAAUGGAUGUCCACUGAUCAACUAGUAAUGGGCUGGCUUUAUUCUUCAAUGACACCGGAGAUUUCCAUGAGAGUAAUGGGAUCUUCAAACUCCUGUAAUUUGUGGAAUGCUGUCCAGGAAAGUUUUGGAGUUAUGAACAAGUCUAGAGUCACCUUCCUUAUUGGUGAACUUCAGAGAACAAGAAAGGGCUCAAUGAGUAUUGAUCAAUACCUGAACACAGUCAAGCAGCUAGCAGAUAACCUCGAAAUUGCAGGAAAAGGGUUCCUCACAGUAACCUUGUGACCCAAAUAUUAGCUGGAUUGGAUGAGGAUUACAUUCCUAUUGUGGUUCAAAUUAACAAUAGAGAAUCCAUCUCUUGGCAUCAGUUAAAAUCCACACUUAUAACUUAUGAGAGUAGGCUUGAACAUAUGAACGCUGUGAAAAACAACAUGGUCUCAAUAAACUUAAGCUAGGUCUCAGCAAACUUUGUGCAUAAGUCAAACAGUAGCAGAUGAGGUAGAUCUAAUUUUGGUGGUAGAAAUAAUAACUACAGGGGAAGAAGUAGAGGCAAAUGAAGUAGGCAAAUUGGAGAAAAGGGCCCGUGUCAAAUCUGUGGAAUGAAUAAUCACUCAGUAGAAAGACGCUUCAAUCACUAUGAUGAAAGAUACAUGGGCACCAAACCCGAUCGCCAGUACUAGAACAAUCACCCAGGACCAGCUGUUUUUGUGACUUCACCAAGUACUGUUGCAGAUCCAGCCUGGUAUGCUAAUUCAGGAGCAAGUAAUCACGUUACUAUUGUGAAAGAAAAUUUGACUGAAGCUCGUGAGUAUAAUGGUAAUGAAAGUCUUAGUGUAGGAAAUCUAAAUGAACUUCACAUCUCACAUGUUGGCACUAAACACUUGAAAAUUUUAAAUGACAAGUCAUUAAUUCUCAGUAACACAAUGCUGUUGCCAUCAAUUAAGAAAAAUCUGGUUAGUGUUUCAUAGUUAACUUCUGAUAACAAUGUUAUUCUGGAAUUUCACUCUGACCCUUGUUAUGUUAAUGACAAACAAACCCAGGAGGUGUUGCUGCAGGGGAAGCUUAAAGAUGGACUGCAUAAGGUUGAGCACCCAAAUGAUCCAGCAAAAUGGUCUUCCUACCAAGUGUCAGUCUAUCCUAAUAAGUUGAAUUUCUCAAGUUCUAUAGUCAAGUCUAAAGUGUCUGAUGUUCCCAAAAGUGCUAGAGAGUCUGAG